AAUGAGCUCCUCUUCUUCCUGUUACAUGGUUUUCCUGACAUCGAGGGCUGGAUUAAUUAUCUUAGUUCUGUUGUUGUCCUCUGGCUGUCUCCUGCUGCUGAGGGGUCCCCAAAAUGCUCCUGUGAAGACAACACGAUGGCGUUCUGAGGAGCAAGACCAAAGCCUCCUGAAGAGCUCAUGGUAACGGGCCCAGGGAAGGAGUGAAGCCCAGAAGUGCAGUUGGAAUGGCACUUAGAAGUCCAGCCAGGAAGCACAGAGGACAGCAGAGUCUCGACCCAGUGUGUCCAUGAUGGGAGGAAGGGUGCCUGGUGCAAGGCCAGCCAAGGAGCACGGAGCAUUGCUUCCCUAAGUGAGAGCUGUCCUGUGUCCAUCCAGAGAGUGGGAACUGAGCUGAGAGAGCUUCAAUACAUUUUUAAUCACCAGCAGUUCUUAAAGGGAGAAGCACCUGAUUAAGAAUUGCUCAGGGAAUGGGGAGGUGGAUGGGAAGCAGGACUGGAAACUGAUCAUGAGAACACAUCACAUGGCCCACGCCAGCUCUAACCUUACGUAGUCAGUUUUGCUUUUCCACAAAAGAAGAAUUAGCUGGGAGAACUCUUUCUCUGUUUGGCUUUGAAAGUUUCCAUGGUAUUUAAAGUAAAGAUGACCUAAUAGUCCCAUGA